rnacentral:rRNA from 1 species
GAAUUGAAGCAUCUUAGUAGGAGGAGGAAAAGAAAUCAAUAGAGAUUCCGUGAGUAGUGGCGAAUGAAAACGGAUCUGGACAAGCCGAAUCCCGAAACGAAAGUGAGGGAGAUGUGGUUGUCAGUCUUUUGUCUAAGUUAUGGAAGGUGAAAUUGCCUGGAACGGCAUAGCCAAAGAGGGUGAAAGUCCCGUAACCGUACAUAAUAUGACCACGUGACUGUCAAAGAGUAGCAUGCGUUGGAAAUCGCGUGUGAAUAUGGGACGCAAUUAGUUCCAAUCCUAAAUACAACUCGAGACCGAUAGUUUACAAGUAACGUGAGUGAAAGCUGAAAAGUAUCCUUAGCGGGAUGUGAAAAGAACGUGAAACCAGUUGGGUACAGGCUGAUUGGCGUGAAAGCGAUGAUAUGAGCAGCGUCCAGUCGUGCGUUUAGAAAAAUGCCCCAGGGAGUCUUGAUCAUUGGCGAGGUUAAGCGGUUGAUCCGCGUAGCCGAAGGAAACCGACAAGUCCGCAGCAGUUUACUGUGAGGGACGAAGUGUGCUCGCUUGGAGUCAAUGGUGGAGGACCUGAAGCCCGACGAUCUAUGCCUGGCCAGAUUGAAGCCCGUUGAAAGAUGGGUGGAGGAUCGAACCGUUGCUGAUCUGCAAAUCGCUCGGACGAGCUGGGUAUAGGGGUGAAAGUCCAAUCGAGUUGGGCAAUAGCAGGUUCCGCGUGAAAGUACUCGUAGGUACACGUUAGUGAUGAUUGAUUACGCUGUAGAGCACUGAUUGUGCGUUUAGGGGGAGCGAUCCCUCGGCGUGCUGCCAAACUCCGAAGUGUAAUCGUUGUAGAUACUAGCAGUGAGUGAUGGUGGGUAAGCUACCAUUACGUAAGGUGAACAAACCAGCCUGAAGUUAAGGUCCCUAAAUAUCAAUUAAGUGUCACAGACAAACCGUGUCCGUGGUCGAAAACAACCAGAAGGUGGGCUUAGAAGCAGCCAUCCUUGAAAGAGUUCGUAACAGAUCACUGGUCUAGCUUGCGGGCCGGGAAAAGGGACGGGGCUCAAAUUGAUUACCGAUACUUCAGACCAUCGAAAGAUGAUGUGGUAACGCGGCGUAGUGUAUGGACGGAAGGUAGGCUGUGAGGUCUACUGGACCGUAUACUAAUGAGAGUCUUGGGAAGAGUAGCAGCACAGUGUGGUGAGAAUCCGCACCGCCUUAUAAACCAGGGUUCCUCGGCACUGUUUAUCAGCCGAGGGUUAGCCGGUCCUAAGGUCAUUCUUAACCGAAAUGAUCGAAAGGGAAAUGCGUUAAUAUUCGUAUGCCUCCCAUACAAUAUAUGGUGACGGCUUGGGCAAAACUUGUGGAUCAUAUGUCAGGUCCACUUGUACCAAAUCUUUGGAGAACUGUCACAGUGAGAAGAAGAUGAAGUCCCAGGUCCCGUGAAAAGCCGUAUGGGAUGACCGUACCGAGAACUGAAACAGGUGUUUUAGGGUGAGUAGCCUAAGGCGUAUCGGAUACAAGUAUCGCGAGGGAACUCGGCAAAAUAGCUCCGUAACUUCGGGAGAAGGAGUGCCAGAUUGGGAACAAUCUGGUCGCAGUGACUAGGGAGCUCCGACUGUUUAAUAAAAACAUAGGGGACUGCCAGAUCGAAAGGUUGUGUAUAGUCCCUGAAUCCUGCUCAGUGCUGGUAUCUUAAAUCGGGUUUCAACCUGACGAAGGACCAGUAAACAGCGGGGGUAACUAUGACCCUCUUAAGGUAGCGUAAUACCUUGUCGCUUAAUUGGCAACUUGCAUGAAUGGUCCAACGAGGGCUCCACUGUCCCCGCGAUACGUCCGGCGAAAUUGACUUUACUGGCGCACAGUCCAGUACAUUCUACCCGCAAGCGAAGACCCCAUAGAGCUUUACUGCAGCCUGUCGUUGCAUAGUCGCUUUCCAUGUACUGUGUAGGUGGGAGAUGUUGAUCUCCGGGACGUCAGUCCCGGAAGGAGUCGAAAAUAGAGACACCACCCUUGGAGAGUAACUAUGCUAACUGUUUAUCAGGACACCGAUUGGUGGGCAGUUUGGGUGGGCGCCACGCGCUCGAAAACCUAACAAGCGUGCCCAAUGGUCAGCUUAAGUGGUUCAGCACUCCACUGUUAACUGUAAGGGGAAAAGCUGGCUUGACGUGGAUCGGCACAAUAACGAUCGACGAUGCGAAAGCAGGGCCUAACGAACCUACCAGGCUUAUAAUUGAGGCCGGUAGAUAACAGAAAAGCUACCCCGGGCCU